CAGUCCAGGAGUCACUUCCCCGCGACAGUGUCUGCUCCGGGAUUCACCAGAGUCGGCCUUUGGUCUGGAGUCAGCUCCUCCAUUCUCCUCUGGAUUUUCAUCAUCUGCAGUGUUUUGGCUUUAUAUUGUUGUCGUCUCUGGCUCCUCACAGUUGUAAUAACUCCUAACAGUUUAACUAAUGAUGUACCAGAGGAGAACUUGAAGCUUUCUUUAGCACAUUACACUUCACGGGGGAAUCUGCAUUGU